CGGACGGGUGAGUAAUGUAUGGGGAUCUGCCUGAUGGCGGGGGAUAACUACUGGAAACGGUAGCUAAUACCGCAUAAUGUCUACGGACCAAAGCGGGGGACCUCCGGGCCUCGCGCCAUCAGAUGAACCCAUAUGGGGUUAGCUAGUAGGUGAGGUAACGGCUUACCUAGGCGACGAUCCCUAGCUGGUCUGAGAGGAUGAUCAGCCACACUGGGACUGAGACACGGUCCAG
rnacentral:rRNA from 1 species